rnacentral:rRNA from 1 species
AGUGAACGCUGGCGGUAGGCCUAACACAUGCAAGUCGAAGGGCAGCACAGGAGAGCUUGCUCUCUGGGUGGCGAGUGGCGGACGGGUGAGGAAUACAUCGGAAUCUACUCUGUCGUGGGGGAUAACGUAGGGAAACUUACGCUAAUACCGCAUACGACCUACGGGUGAAAGCAGGGGACCUUCGGGCCUUGCGCGAUUGAAUGAGCCGAUGUCGGAUUAGCUAGUUGGCGGGGUAAAGGCCCACCAAGGCGACGAUCCGUAGCUGGUCUGGGAGGAUGAUCAGCCACACUGGACCUGAGACACGGUCCAGACUCCUACGGGAGGCAGCAGUGGUGAAUAUUGGACAAUGGGCGCAAGCCUGAUCCAGCCAUACCGCGUGGGUGAAGAAGGCCUUCGGGUUGUAAAGCCCUUUUGUUGGGAAAGAAAUCCAGCUGGCUAAUACCCGGUUGGGAUGACGGUACCCGAAGAAUAAGCACCGGCUAACUUCGUGCCAGCCGCCGCAGUAA